CCGCACGUUGUAUAGUAGAUACUGAAAAUAGCAACUGCAAGUUACAACGUAGUCAAGUCCAGCAACCAGGAAGUGAUCUUUGACACUUUGGUGAUAGCAGACGGAGACAUAUUGCUUGUAGCGGAAUAAGAUCCCUAUAUAAAUGUACUGGUAGCCUUCAAGACCCUCAGUGCUAAUUAUAAAAAUGCAGCGAACGGGAGGUAAGUUUGUGGCGUUGCUAUUCCUCUCCGCUCUAGUAUUCAAUCUGGCCGGUAAAGCAUCCACCUCUACAAUUGUCAGUUCUUAUCCAAGUGGGCAGACAACGGUUGAGUUCAACAAUAUAGCGAUUGACAACGCAACUGGGACUGUAUAUGUUGGGGCUGUUAAUACUUUGUACCGACUGAAUGGUGACUUGCAACUGUUACAGAACGUAACGACUGGACCAGUCACGGAUAGUCCUUACUGUAGUCCACCUCCUUCUUCCUGCUCAAAGGGAACGCCCACAGACAACUAC